rnacentral:rRNA from 1 species
GAUGAACGCUGGCGGCGUGCCUAAUACAUGCAAGUCGAGCGAACAGACGAGGCGUUUGCUCCGCUGACGUGAGCGGCGGGCGGGUAAGGAACACGUGUAUGACCUACCGAUAAGACUGAGGUAACUUAAGGAAACCGGAUAUAAUACCGGAUAAGAUGUUGAACCGGAGGGAUCAAUAGAGAAAGACGGAUUUGCUGUGACUAAGAGGUGGUACCGCGUCGGAUUAGCUAGUUGGUAAGGUAACGGCUUACCAAGGCAACGAUGCGUAGCCGACCUGAGAGGGUGAUCGGCCACACUGGAACUGAGACACGGUCCAGACUCCUACGGGAGGCAGCAGUGGGGAAUCUUGCGCAAUGGGCGAAAGCCUGACGCAGCAACGCCGCGUGAGUGAUGAAGGUCUUCGGAUCGUAAAACUCUUUUAUUAGGGAAGAAGAACAGUGUAAGUAAACAUGCACGUCUCGACGUUACCUACACAGAAAGCCCCGGCUAACUUCGUG